rnacentral:lncRNA from 1 species
GGGGGAAGGGGUUUUGUACAUACAUCUAUGGGCCCACCAGAAGGUUUAGACAGUCCUAAAUAUGGGGCUGGACACUGAGAGGUAUUUGACAUGGAGACCAUGACGUAGGACGGUAUAGUCUACAUGGAGAGACAGGAAGUAGUCGAGGAUUAGGAAAGUACUCGUUGUAAUAAGAGUAGAACUCCUCUAGUCAUAUCCGACUAGUAUUCUUGUAAACAACUGACCUGUAACUCUACCCUCGGCAAUAUAAGGUGAGGCAAGGACCCCCUCC